UACGUAGGGGGCAAGCGUUGUCCGGAAUCAUUGGGCGUAAAGAGCUCGUAGGCGGUUCAGUAAGUCGGGUGUGAAAGCUCCGAGCUCAACUCGGAGAGGCCACUCGAUACUGCUGUGACUAGAAUCCAGUAGGGGAGUGUGGAACUCCUGGUGUAGCGGUGAAAUGCGCAGAUAUCAGGAAGAACACCAGCGGCGAAGGCGGCACUCUGGGCUGGAAUUGACGCUGAGGAGCGAAAGUGUGGGUAGCAAACAGG
rnacentral:rRNA from 1 species